AUUGAACGCUGGCGGCAGGCUUAACACAUGCAAGUCGAGCGGGGACUUCGGUCCUAGCGGCGAACGGGUGAGGAAUGCUUGGGAAUCUGCCUAGUAGUGGGGGAUAACGUUUCGAAAGGAACGCUAAUACCGCAUACGUCCUACGGGAGAAAGGGGGGGAUCUUCGGACCUCUCGCUAUUAGAUGAGCCCAAGUCGGAUUAGCUAGUUGGUGGGGUAAAGGCCUACCAAGGCGACGAUCCGUAGCUGGUCUGAGAGGAUGAUCAGCCACACUGGAACUGAGACACGGUCCAGACUCCUACGGGAGGCAGCAGUGGGGAAUAUUGGACAAUGGGGGAAACCCUGAUCCAGCCAUGCCGCGUGUGUGAAGAAGGCCUUCGGGUUGUAAAGCACUUUAAGCGAGGAGGAAGGGCUCUAGGUUAAUACCUUGGAGCAUUGACGUUACUCGCAGAAUAAGCACCGGCUAACUCUGUGCCAGCAGCCGCGGUAAAAC
rnacentral:rRNA from 1 species